rnacentral:rRNA from 1 species
UUUAUGGAGAGUUUGAUCCUGGCUCAGGAUGAACGCUGGCGGCGUGCCUAAUACAUGCAAGUCGAGCGAACAGAUAAGGAGCUUGCUCCUUUGACGUUAGCGGCGGACGGGUGAGUAACACGUGGGUAACCUACCUAUAAGACUGGAAUAACUCCGGGAAACCGGGGCUAAUGCCGGAUAAUAUUUAGAACCGCAUGGUUCUAAAGUGAAAGAUGGUUUU